rnacentral:rRNA from 1 species
UUUAGAGUUUGAUCCCUGCUCAGAUUGAACGCUGGCGGCAGGCCUAACACAUGCAAGUCGAGCGGUAACAGAGAGAAGCUUGCUUCUCUGCUGACGAGCGGCGGACGGGUGAGUAAUACUUGGGAAUUUGCCUUUAGGCGGGGGACAACCACGGGAAACUGUGGCUAAUACCGCAUAAUGUCUACGGACCAAAGUGGGGGACCUUCGGGCCUCACACCUAAAGAUGAGCCCAAGCGGGAUUAGCUAGUUGGUGGGGUAAAGGCUCACCAAGGCGACGAUCCCUAGCUGUUCUGAGAGGAUGAUCAGCCACACUGGGACUGAGACACGGCCCAGACUCCUACGGGAGGCAGCAGUGGGGAAUAUUGCACAAUGGGGGAAACCCUGAUGCAGCCAUGCCGCGUGUGUGAAGAAGGCCUUCGGGUUGUAAAGCACUUUCAGCGACGAGGAAGGGUGUUGUAUUAAUAGUGCAGCACAUGACGUUAGUCGCAGAAGA